AAAGACAAACGACAUAUCAAAGAGAAACCAUAACCAUUUGGGAAGGAGUUUAGAUUAUGUAAGGAGGGAACAACCAAAAUAAUUUAGAAAUGAAUUAACAAGGACUAGAAAUGAGAUAUUUCAACAAACUAAAUGAUUUAUCAAAAUUGAAUUACGAAGAGGGUGUAAAAAUCCCUUAUUUACUAAGUUCUCUUAUAGAAGAGUAGACAAUUGAAA
rnacentral:lncRNA from 1 species